AAAACCCUAUAUUUUGCUUCUCAAAAAAAGCUGUUUCUCUUUCCCACUCCGAUUAUAGGAUUCUUGGAGAGAAGAAGUAGCAGCGAUGUCGCAGCAAGGUCAAAUUCCGAUAAACCCCAUGGUCCCUCCGCAGAACCCUAUGGCUGCCAUGCAGGUUCCCAUGCCCAUGCACAUGCAGAUGCAGAUGCCCAUGCCAUUACCCAUGCAGAUGCAGAUGCCACUCCCCAUGCCGCUCCAGAUUCCCUUCUCCAUCCACGACCCCGCCGCCUCCUCCGGGAAGCGCCGUCGCGACGACGAGGCUCCCGGAACCGCUGCCGUGACGGAGCAGUCUGCGGCGAAGCGCGCCAAGGGGCAAGACGUCAUAUUCAGGAUCGUCGUGCCCUCGCGCCAGAUCGGCAAGGUCAUCGGGAAGGAAGGGUGCCGCAUACAGAGGAUUCGAGAAGACACCAAAGCAACCAUCAAAAUCGCUGACGCUAUUGCCAGACACGAAGAGCGAGUUAUCAUUAUUAGUUCUAAGGAUAAUGAUGAAAAGGUUACUGAUGCAGAGAAAGCUCUUGAGCAAAUAGCACAUUUAAUUUUAAAGGAAGAUGAUAGCAGUCUUGAUUUGUCAAAAGUUGCAGCAGGACAUGUGGCUGCCAAUACAAUUAGACUUUUGAUUGCUGGGUCCCAGGCAGGUGGAUUAAUUGGGAUGUCUGGUCAAAACAUUGAGAAAUUGAGGGACUCUUCAGGUGCCUCGAUUACUGUUCUUGCACCAAAUCAGUUACCUUUAUGUGCUUCUGCUCACGAAUCUGACAGAGUAGUGCAGUUAUCAGGAGAUGUUCCUUCGGUAAUGAAGGCUUUGGACGAGAUAGGUUGUCAACUAAGGGAAAACCCACCAAGACAAGUGAUUUCAAUUAGUCCAACAUACAAUUAUGCUGCAAUUCGACCAUCCCAACCAUAUCUUGACCCAACUUCAGUUGAUUAUGUUACAUUCGAGAUGCUGAUUUCGGAAACGAUGGUUGGUGGGUUGAUUGGCCGAUGUGGCUCAAACAUAUCGAGGAUCAGAAAUGAAUCUGGAGCAAUGAUCAAGGUUUAUGGCGGUAAGGGUGAACAAAAGCAUAGACAAAUUCAAUUUGGUGGUAGUGCUCAACAGUUUCUUACAUCCAUGAAAUACUACGGAUUGUUUAAACAACACGAUGCUAGGCUUCGUCCUGUCCUUGAUGCGUAAUCCUUGUUAAAACACUGAACACUUUGGAAAGGUAGCUUUGGCAAAACAGAGAGUUGAUGAAUAUAUUUACUCUCAGUUGAUACAACAGACUGGCACCCAAUCAUCAGCGGAGUAAUUUUUAUCAGAAAGGACCAAAAUUUAAAAGAUUUCUGGUCUAUUCAGCUUCCAGAGAUGACAUCAAGAAAGCCAAAAUGUGUAGUUUCUGCUCUGAAUCCAGCCAGCUACCUGGUGGGCUUAUUUGUGUUAGUAAGAUAUGUUUGAUGGAUAUAAUUUGUUUUAGUGGAUUGUUCAGUUGCUGAUGUUCAAACUUUUCUCAGCUUGUACUGUAUCAAUUGUUGUUAGUUGAAGGUAUAUAUAAUUUUUUUUAUACAUAAAUAUGAAUGUGUAAAAUGUAACAUUUGUUUCUCUUGA